rnacentral:rRNA from 1 species
AUUGAACGCUGGCGGCAUGCCUUACACAUGCAAGUCGAACGGCAGCGGGCCUUCGGGUGCCGGCGAGUGGCGAACGGGUGAGUAAUGCAUCGGAACGUGCCAUUGAGUGGGGGAUAACGUAGCGAAAGUUGCGCUAAUACCGCAUAUUCUGUGAGCAGGAAAGCAGGGGACCGCAAGGCCUUGCGCUCUUUGAGCGGCCGAUGUCAGAUUAGCUAGUUGGUGAGGUAAAGGCUUACCAAGGCGACGAUCUGUAGCGGGUCUGAGAGGAUGAUCCGCCACACUGGAACUGAGACACGGUCCAGACUCCUACGGGAGGCAGCAGUGGGGAAUUUUGGACAAUGGGGGCAACCCUGAUCCAGCCAUGCCGCGUGAGUGAAGAAGGCCUACGGUGUAAGCGUCUUCGGUCCGGGAACGGAAA